GCCUUCGUGGUAUAGUGGCCAGCACGCUCGACGCGUAACCCAGAGGUCCGUGGUUCAAUUCCCGGCGAAGGCU
rnacentral:tRNA from 1 species